rnacentral:sRNA from 1 species
UAACAUUUUGCUGUACCUUAAUGAUCUUCUCGCCUGUAAAGAUCGCCUUCGGGUGGCGAAAUGAAACUCCCGUAGCCUGCAAGGGAGAGCAUUGCAAUGCGGUACAUCUGCACACUUUUGGAAGCAGAUAUCGCUGGACAACAACCCU